rnacentral:rRNA from 1 species
CCCGGCACAAGCGGUGGAGCAUGUGGUUUAAUUUCGAUGAUACGCGAGAAACCUUACCAGGGCUUUGACAUAUACAGGAAUGUUGUAGAGAUACAGCAGCCGCUUGCGGUCUGUAUACAGGUGCUGCAUGGCUGUCGUCAGCUCGUGCUGUGAAGUGUUGGGUUAAGUCCCGCAACGAGCGCAACCCUAUCAUCUGUUGCCAGCAUUUAAGGUGGGGACUCAGAUGAGACUGCCGGUGACAAACCGGAGGAAGUGGGGACGACGUCAAGUCAUCAUGGCCCUUAUGUCCUGGGCUACACACGUGCUACAACGGCCGGUACAGAGUGAAGCGAAACCGCGAGGUGAAGCAAAACGCAGAAAGCCGGUCUCAGUACGGAUUGGAGUCUGAAACUCGACUUCAUGAAGCUGGAAUCGCUAGUAAUCGCGCAUCAGCCAUGGCGCGGUGAAUACGUUCCCGGGCCUU